GAUGAACGCUAGCGGCAGGCUUAACACAUGCAAGUCGAGGGGUAGAAGGAGCUUGCUCCUUUGGGACCGGCGCACGGGUGCGUAACGCGUAAGCAAUCUACCUUGUACAGGGGGAUAGCCCAGAGAAAUUUGGAUUAAUACCCCAUAGUGUAAUGAAUAGGCAUCUAUUUAUUACUAAAGUUCCAACGGUACAAGAUGAGCAUGCGUCCCAUUAGCUAGUUGGUGUGGUAACGGCAUACCAAGGCAACGAUGGGUAGGGGUCCUGAGAGGGAGAAACCCAACACUGGUACUGAGACACGGACCAGACUCUUACGGAGGGCAGCAGUGAGGAAUAUUGUGCAAGGGGCGCAAGCCUGGACCGGCCAGGCCGCGUGCAGGAUGACGGUCCUAUGGAUUGUAAACUGCUGUUGUACAGGAAGAAACACUCCCUCGUUAGGGAACUUGACGGUACUGUAAGAAUAAGGAUCGGCUAACUCCGUGCCAGCAGCCGCCGUAAUAC
rnacentral:rRNA from 1 species